UCUGGCUCCUCCCCCCUCCUCAGGGCCAGCGUUUGCUACAGGCCAACUAGGCAGCCGCCUAGGGCGCCAUGAAGAGGGGGGCACCAAAUACCGAAGUGCGGGAGGAGGGGAAAGCGCCUUGGAAGUGCUUAGGCAAGAGGCCCAUGGGCAUACAUUACCCGUAGCUGUAACCUUGUCUAUGCACACAAGGUAGUACUCUCAGAGAUGGCCGUCGCAAACACAUGGCAGAGGGGAAAGAUAAGUUUGGUGGACACACACACGCAGAAGACAGCUGAGUGGGACAGGCCAGACAGUACUAAACAGGGAUAUUCUCAUGAACAAACAUCAGCCAUGCCCGUCGAAUGUUUGGUUCCUUGGGAAGACUAUGGAAAAGUGUC